rnacentral:rRNA from 1 species
GACGAACGCUGGCGGCGUGCUUAACACAUGCAAGUCGAACGGAAAGGCCCUGCUUUGGUGGGGUGCUCGAGUGGCGAACGGGUGAGUAACACGUGAGUAACCUGCCCUUGACUUUGGGAUAACUUGAGGAAACUGGGGCUAAUACCGGAUAGGAGCUCCUGGUGCAUGGUGGGGGUUGGAAAGUUUCGGCGGUUGGGGAUGGACUCGCGGCUUAUCAGCUUGUUGGUGGGGUAGUGGCUUACCAAGGCUUUGACGGGUAGCCGGCCUGACAGGGUGACCGGCCACAUUGGGACUGAGAUACGGCCCAGACUCCUACGGGAGGCAGCAGUGGGGAAUAUUGCACAAUGGGCGGAAGCCUGAUGCAGCAACGCCGCGUGCGGGAUGACGGCCUUCGGGUUGUAAACCGCUUUCGCCUGUGGCGAAGCGUGAGUGACGGUAAUGGGUAAAGAAGCACCGGCUAACUACGUG